rnacentral:rRNA from 1 species
AACAGGAUUAGAUACCCUGGUAGUCCACGCCGUAAACGAUGUCGACUUGGAGGUUGUGCCCUUGAGGCGUGGCUUCCGGAGCUAACGCGUUAAGUCGACCGCCUGGGGAGUACGGCCGCAAGGUUAAAACUCAAAUGAAUUGACGGGGGCCCGCACAAGCGGUGGAGCAUGUGGUUUAAUUCGAUGCAACGCAAAGAACCUUACCUACUCUUGACAUCCAGAGAACUUAGCAGAGAUGCUUUGGUGCCUUCGGGAACUCUGAGACAGGUGCUGCAUGGCUGUCGUCAGCUCGUGUUGUGAAAUGUUGGGUUAAGUCCCGCAACGAGCGCAACCCUUAUCCUUUGUUGCCAGCGGUCCGGCCGGGAACUCAAAGGAGACUGCCAGUGAUAAACUGGAGGAAGGUGGGGAUGACGUCAAGUCAUCAUGGCCCUUACGAGUAGGGCUACACACGUGCUACAAUGGCGCAUACAAAGAGAAGCGACCUCGCGAGAGCAAGCGGACCCCAUAAAGUGCGUCGUAGUCCGGAUUGGAGUCUGCAACUCGACUCCAUGAAGUCGGAAUCGCUAGUAAUCGUGGAUCAGAAUGCCACGGUGAAUACGUUCCCGGGCCUUGUACACACCGCCCGUCACACCAUGGGAGUGGGUUGCAAAAGAAGUAGGUAGCUUAACCUUCGGGAGGGCGCUUACCACUUUGUGAUUCAUGACUGGGGUGAAGUCGUAACAAGGUAACC